AAACCACUUGGCUUCACUUACAGUCAGUAGAAUGAAGAUGAAUGUCUGGGGCAAGACUGGUCUCAUUCUGCAUGUAGUGAUGUGAAAUAGGUCAUAUGAUCCUGACCUUAACAUGCUUUUUUAGCAGAGCCUAUGGCAAAAUCUAUGGCUGAUAUGAAGCUUAACUUGUGUGACCUAUGAAGGCUUACUCAUCUAAACCUAGUAGUUGGCAGUUAUAUAAAUAUAUCUUUGGGGGAAAUUCAGAAAUGUCUUAAACCAAGGAGCAGUAGCAGCAUCAGGGUGAGAAAGCUGUGGAUAUGAAUACUCACUUAGUUGAAGUCUAGGCUUGCUUGGAAGUCUCGUCCUUUCUCAGUUUAUCUUCUUGUAAAAUGUAAUAAUAAUGCUUUUUGAUUGCAAAUGUUUUGCUGCUGUCCAUAAGGUAAACUGUAUAAGCUGUAGACCACCAAGGAUAAUAGGAUAUGAAUCCUACAGGAUUUGGGGUGCACGUGGAAUUGAUCACAAACAGCAGUACUCAAGGAAAAGGCAUAGGGGUCUUCUGCUUCGGGAUGUGUCCAUGCACUAACAUUGGCAUUCGUAUGAUGUUAUUUACAUUAUAGUGCAGCUCUUAUGUAUUGACCUUUUGGCUCUGGUCAACGUUGAAAGUGCAGAACUGUGUGCUAUAUGUAAAACACCAGGACUGUCUUGGAUACGCACCACAGGCAUAUCGAUGACGUUAAAUGAAUAAAUAGGAAAGGAUCAUGAUCACAAGGUUUCCAGAAUUUAUUCAAACAAGCAACUCUUCAUUUCCAUGGUUUAUAAAAUUUGCUGAUAAAAUGACAGCUGCUACAGCUGAUAAAAAUAUAAACACUGUGGUACAGAAAAAAGGUUGUAACUUAACUUAGUACCUUUACAGUACUUAACCACUAACCGAGAACUGGACUCUCAGAGAGGGGCAGCAGUUUAGGUGCAUCACCAACACAAUCAUUAAUGACUUCGUGUAGUUAGCGCAAACCAUUCUGUUAUAUUUUCAGAGAAAAUAUCUAUGUACAUUCAUGCCUAUUUUCAAGCUAAUUAUUGUAUUUUGAAAUAAAACCAGC
rnacentral:lncRNA from 7 species